rnacentral:rRNA from 1 species
UUGCAGUUAAAAAGCUCGUAGUUGAAUUUCUGUGUAGUGCAAUUGAGGUCUUCGGACUGAUUUGCAUGUGCACAUCCAUCUGAACAGCAUUCGUUGUCAUUGAUUUGUCGCUUAUGUGAUCAGAUACUUUACCUUGAGAAAAAUAGAGUGUUCCAAGCAGGCGCUCGCCUGAAUAAUAAAGCAUGGAAUAAUACAAUAGGACUGAGUUCUAUUGGUGCAUAGAACGCAGUAAUGAUUAAUAGGGACAGUUGGGGGCAUUUGUAUUUAAUUGUCAGAGGUGAAAUUCUUUGAUUUAUUAAAGACAAACCUAUGCGAAAGCAUUUGCCAAGGAUGUUUUCAUUAAUCAAGAACGAAAGUUAAGGGAUCGAAGACGAUCAGAUACCGUCGUAGUCUUAACCAUAAACUAUGCCGACUAGAGAUUGGAGGUGCAAUCUCAAUACUCCUUCAGCAUCUUAGGAGAAAUCAAAGUCUUUGGGUUCUGGGGGUAGUAUGGUCGCAAGACUGAAACUUAAAGGAAUUGACGGAAGGGCACCACAAGGUGUGGAGCCUGCGGCUUAAUUUGACUCAACACGGGAAAACUUACCAGGUCCAGACAUGGGAAGGAUUGACAGAUUGGAG